UACGUAGGGUGCAAGCGUUAAUCGGAAUUACUGGGCGUAAAGCGUGCGCAGGCGGUUUUGUAAGUCUGAUGUGAAAUCCCCGGGCUUAACCUGGGAAUUGCAUUGGAGACUGCAAGGCUAGAAUCUGGCAGAGGGGGGUAGAAUUCCACGUGUAGCAGUGAAAUGCGUAGAGAUGUGGAGGAACACCGAUGGCGAAGGCAGCCCCCUGGGUCAAGAUUGACGCUCAUGCACGAAAGCGUGGGGAUCAAACAGG
rnacentral:rRNA from 1 species